rnacentral:rRNA from 1 species
CGCGUAGGUGGUUGUGUAUGUCAGAUGUGAAAUCCCAAGGCUCAACCUUAGAACUGCAUCUGAAACUGCAUGACUCGAGUACAGCAGAGGGAAACGGAAUUCCUGGUGUAGAGGUGAAAUUCGUAGAUAUCAGGAGGAACACCGGUGGCGAAGGCGGUUUCCUGGGCUGAUACUGACACUGAGGCGCGAAAGCGUGGGGAGCAAACA